AGGGUUUGAUCCUGGCUCAGGGCUAACGCUGGCAGCGUGCCUUAGCCAUGCAAGUCGAGCGGGGAAGGCUCUUAUGGGUCUUCCCAGCGGCGGACGGCGGAGUAAUACACCGCUAACCUGCCCUGGGGAGGGGGAUAACCUGCCGAAAGGUGGGCUAAUCCCCCAUACGCUCCCUUGGGGGCAUCCCUGAGGGAGGAAAGGGUCUGAGGACUCGCCCUAGGAGGGGGCGGUGGCCCAUCAGGUAGUUGGUGGGGUAAUGGCCCACCAAGCCUAAGACGGGUAGCCGGCGUGAGAGCGCGGUCGGCCCGAGGGGCACUGAGACACGGGCCCCACUCCUACGGGAGGCAGCAGGCUGGAAAUGUGGGCAAUGGGGGAAACCCUGACCCCGCGACGCUGCGUGCGGGAAGAAGCCCUUCGGGGUGUAAACCGCUUUUGCUGGGGACGAAGGUCUGACGGUACCCUGCGAAUAAGCCACGGCUAACCUCGUGCCAGCAGCCGCGGUAAGACGGGGGUGGCGAGCGUUGCCCGGAAUUACUGGGCUUAAAGGGGGUGUAGGCGGCUGGGUGUGUCGGGCGUGUAAUCUUGGGGCUCAACCCCAAGGCUGCGCCCGAGACUACCUGGCUAGAGGGCGCCAGGGGGAGGCGGAACUCCCGGUGUAGCGGUGAAAUGCGUAGAUAUCGGGGGGAACACCGUAGGCGAAGGCGGCCUCCUGGGGCGUACCUGACGCUGAGGCCCGAAGGCUGGGGGAGCAAAGGGGAUUAGAUACCCCCGUAGUCCCAGCAGUAAACGAUGUGGGCUAGCGGUCUGGCCGUUAAGGCUGGGUCGCGAAGGGAAACCGAUAAGCCCACCGCCUGGGGAGUACGCCCGCAAGGGUGAAACUCAAAGGAAUAGACGGGAGCCCGCACAAGCGGCGGAGCGCGUGGUUUAAUUCGAUGCUGACCGAAGAACCUCACCCGGGCUUGACAUCCCGCCGUCAAGCCUGCCCGAAAGGGUAGGUGAGCCUACCGAUGAGGUAGGCAGGCGGGACAGGAGCUGCACGGCUGUCGUCAGCUCGUGUCGUGAGAUGUUGGGUUAAGUCCCGCAACGAGCGCAACCCCUGCCCAUAGUUGCCAGCGGGUCGCCCACGGAUGUGGGCGAUGCUGGGGACUCUAUGGGGACUGCCGGCGAGGAGCCGGAGGAAGGAGGGGACGACGUCAAGUCCGUGUGGCCCUUAUGUCCGGGGCUACACACGCGCUACAAUGGGCGGUACAGAGGGAAGCGACCCUGCGAGGGGGAGCAAAUCCCUAAAACCGCCCCCAGUUCGGAUUGCAGGCUGAAACCCGCCUGCAUGAAGGAGGAGUCGCUAGUAAUCACCUAUCAGCUAUGGGGUGGUGAAUACGUUCCCGGGCUCUGUACUCACCGCCCGUCACGCCAUGGGAGCCGGGGGUGCCUGAAGCCCCACCGAGGGUGGGGUGAAGGCAAACUCGGUGACUGGGGCGAAGUCGUAACAAGGUAGCCGUACGGGAACGUGCGGCUG
rnacentral:rRNA from 1 species